UACGUAGGGGGCAAGCGUUGUUCGGAAUUACUGGGCGUAAAGCGCACGUAGGCGGCUUUUUAAGUCAGGGGUGAAAUCCUGGAGCUCAACUCCAGAACUGCCUUUGAUACUGAGAAGCUUGAGUCCGGGAGAGGUGAGUGGAACUGCGAGUGUAGAGGUGAAAUUCGUAGAUAUUCGCAAGAACACCAGUGGCGAAGGCGGCUCACUGGCCCGGUACUGACGCUGAGACGCGAAAGCGUGGGGAGCGAACAGG
rnacentral:rRNA from 1 species